UGGACAUGCCCAUCUGCUGGGUUUUUACUUGUCAUUAAUUUAUAGGCAAUUUUGAGCACAGCAUGCGUAAUGCAGAAUGAUAUAUAUUUACUUUAGUUCAUUUUACAGUUUGAGAGAUACUCAUUUUGCUUAUUCAGAAAGAAACAGUGCGAGGAGAAAAUUCUUUUGAAACCCUUGAGAACUACGGCAAAUCAUUCCUUCUAACUAUGACUUGAAUCUUUCCACUGUAUUAGAUGAGGAUUUUUCUCAUUGAUUUCACUAUGGUCUAUGCAUCUGCAAAGACCUGCAAAAAUUAGUUCACUUGAAUGACCUCAUGCAAUUUAUUUGACAUGUUUGUUACUGUAAGUAUCUGUUACUUGGCUUGAUCUAUGUGGGAAAGAAAAAGCUUGAGCAUUAGGACCACGAUUAUAAUUAUAAGGUAAUACAUGGGUAUCUUUGCAAAAAGGAAAAAAAGACAUGUAGAUAUGUACGUACUUAAGAUCAAGUGUCAUUGUUUUCAACUGAUACCAUCAUUAAUGUUUGAUUUUGCUUGCUCAUGUGGUUAUGUUCUUGGCCCUAUUAAAAUCUUUCAAUUGAUGGGAUAGCUGAUCCUUUUGCUUCUAAGCAAGUAAAAUUUUCACUUGGAAGCUAAGCGGAGAACAAGCUUCGACAAUUCGAAAUCCAACACAACUUGCAUUACAUGCUUGAGGCUACUAGACUGGUCCCACUUGGGGGGUCAUUGCUUGGUCUGCUUCAUACUAUAUUCACUCUGCUGCAAUAGUUUUAGAAAAUUCUGUUUCCUACUUUUCUUUGUAUUCUCAUUUCUAUUUUGCAUCAAUAUUUUUUUUUUAGCAAGGGGAUUGGAGAAGUGAGGCUCGAACCUGGUUCUACCACGUGAGUUAUAUGUCUUUAAUUACUGGAUCAAGUCAGGUUAGACUGCCAAUUAACAUCAGUGAUUGAAUUUAGAAGGAAGUUUUUAUAAUAACUUUGUUUUUUUACAGAAUAAAUAUAACUUUGUUUUUUUA
rnacentral:misc_RNA from 1 species